AGAGUGCACGUCACAGAAGAUGCUUGAGAAGGUGGAGCACUGAGCUGCUGACACAUCUUGAGACAGAGGCUCUGCAAUCCCAGUGGGUCCGAACAAUUCUCAUGCUUUCAGCCAAGGCUAUAGAUACCUCGUGAGAUACAACACUCUUCCAUCUUGGUAGCCUCUACUUGUUGAGGAAAAGACAAUUUCCUGUUCAAGUGCAGGUGCAAAAUAGUAACUGAAAGUCAGAACUUUGAUGACCAGCCUGAUGAAGAUAUCCAAUUAAGAACAGGGAGACUCUAGACUCUGCAAUAGGUCCAGAAUGAUGCCUGCAGGCUGGGGAUUUGGACUGUGGGGGUACAAUUGUCCAAUUUUUUUUCUGCUGAGGGUUUGUCUUUAGGAGGCACCCAGCUCAGCCUGCUCUACACUGUACCUUGUGAAUGAAAUAUUUAUUUAAGAAGAAUUUCUGGAAUCUAUGCCUCAGUCUUGCUAAUGGAAACCUAGGGAAAAGAAACUUCUCUAACACAGGAGUAUCCUACGCCUCACUUUUUAAAGGAAGAAAUAGACCUAUUGACAUUUUUCAAAUGUAAUGUUGUACGAGUCAGAAAAUAAAUAUGCAAACUGAAUGCAGCACUUAGAGUAAUCCAUCAAGGUUCACAUCUACUUUCUCAUAUUCCUUCCAAGCAGUGAUUUAGUAUAG